rnacentral:rRNA from 1 species
AGUGAACGCUGGCGGUAGGCCUAACACAUGCAAGUCGAACGGCAGCACAGUAAGAGCUUGCUCUUACGGGUGGCGAGUGGCGGACGGGUGAGGAAUACAUCGGAAUCUACUUUUUCGUGGGGGAUAACGUAGGGAAACUUACGCUAAUACCGCAUACGACCUACGGGUGAAAGCAGGGGGUCUUCGGACCUUGCGCGAUUGGAUGAGCCGAUGUCGGAUUAGCUAGUUGGCGGGGUAAAGGCCCACCAAGGCGACGAUCCGUAGCUGGUCUGAGAGGAUGAUCAGCCACACUGGAACUGAGACACGGUCCAGACUCCUACGGGAGGCAGCAGUGGGGAAUAUUGGACAAUGGGCGCAAGCCUGAUCCAGCCAUACCGCGUGGGUGAAGAAGGCCUUCGGGUUGUAAAGCCCUUUUGUUGGGAAAGAAAAGCAGCAGGUUAAUACCCCGCUGUUCUGACGGUACCCAAAGAAUAAGCACCGGCUAACUUCGUG